GCCCCAGCUCUGACUGGGACUGUGCUGCACCGAUUAACAGAUAGCAAUGAAACACACUGCGGGUGGAAACUGCUUGGAGUCUGGUUUCACCUAAUUAUCCUAAAAGUGUUAGGAAAAGGUAGCAUUGACUUGUCCUUUUUAUAUCCCUCAACCAUACAAAUCCUUGCUUUUCUGGCUGUUUUUUUCCCAUACCCACGUGGCCCAGGUUUAUCAGGGCCUGAUCUGGGGCGUGAUCUGGGGCAGGCUGCUUGGCUGCUGAGCCAUGUUGUUCUUGCUGACUAUCUUUUCUGCUUGUAAUACAGGCUGCAAAGGACAUAGUCACCCUUGUGCAUGUUGCCCAGCCAUUAAUAAAGACAUUGAUAGAUGUAUCAGUACCCGUUUGAGGCCCUGCUGUCCAGUAAAAGUGUCACUAAUGAUUUGCUGCUUGGGGUUAAUGUUGAUUAAUGAUGAAUGCACUGAAUGUGGAUCGCUCUGGUUUAAUAGACAAUGCUUGGGCCCUAGGACACUGACAACACCUCUCUAGUAGCCCAAGUAUUGUUGCAACUUCUACAUUUAUCAGCUGAGCUUGAAAAUAUGCUUAGUCAACACAACCCAUUUUCCACACCAUUCCCUAUCAGUUUGCACUAUUUAAUUAGCCAUGAUGAUAUUUUCUUGCUUCUCUUUUACCAUUUGCCUCAUGUCAAAUCUUCAUUCUGCUGGCACUGAAAGCAAGCCAGUGGGACUGGAAUUAGGUCAUCCUGUUUCCAUGGCUGCUUCUCAGACCCCCAGAGCUUUCCUGAGCAGCAAGGCUUGUUGAUACCCCCCACACUAUAUUAGCAGUUCAGAGGUCUCUCUGGUGUGGUUAGCUGAAAACUCCCAAGUGCAAACUAUCCAUUGCUGUUGGUUUGAAGGAACAGGAGCCACAGCUGCUCACUGGCUUUCCUGGGGCAGGACAGCUCACCUCAGCGUCCUGCCCACCCUGUGCUACUGCAGACAAACUGUACUUUCAGCUCUUGGGAAAACAGCAGGUUCCUUCUGAUCUGAAUUUGACCAAAUAGUCUUACUUGUCCUAUACUCUUUUUUUUUUUUUCUCCUUAGGAUGUUUGUUUCCCUCAUUGCUUGCCCAUAUUUCCUCAUUUCUAAUUCAUAUUUAUUGCAGUGAACUUCCCCUUUUCACUGUUUGCUAAUUGUAAAUAUGUACUUUAUUAGUGCAUUUACUGCCCCUGAACCCAAGUGCAUUUGCAAAUCAGCAGUACCCUGCUGUAUUGCACUAAACAGUUAUUUAGUUAUUUGCACACAGUACCCAGCUGUCUCAGUGUGGUAUUUGGACUUUCCGGGCUAACAUCCUAAAACCACUUUUAAUCAGGGCUGGGUAGAAGGAAGCCACAGCUACCCAGGCAGCUCCAUUAUAGGCUGCUAUCAACAGCAGUGAAACGAGCUCUUCACAUCCUGAUAUCACAAGCAAAGAUGCCAUAACAAGUGGAAUUGGUGAGGGAGGGAACUGAAGUCCUGGUAACUCCCUGCCCCUCCUUUCCCAGUGAAUCACUCCUCCAUGGGGCAAUGCUUUUGUGGAAGAGUUACCGGGUACUGUGGCCAGCAGGGUGAGGAAGGGGAUUCUCCCCCCCUACCCUGCUCUGCUCUGGUGAGACCCCACCUGUAGUGCUGCAUCCAGCUCUGGGGCUCUGAGCAUAAGGACUCUCCCUGCUGGAGUGAGUCCAGAGGAGCGCCACGAGGAUGAUCAGAGGGAUGGAGAACAUCUCCUGUGGGGAAAGGCUGAAACUCUCAGAGCUGGGGUUGUUCAGUCUGGAGGUCUGAGGAGACCUCAGGGGGCUACAGGAAAUGUGGAGAGGGACUUUUUACAAGGGUAUGUACUGAUAGGACAAGGGGUAAUGCCUUUCAACUGAAGGAAGGUAGGUUUGGAUUAGAUAUUAGGCAGAAAUUCUUUACUGUGAAGGUAGUGAGGCACUGGAACAGGUGCCCAGAGAAUUUGCAGAUUCCCCAUCCCAGGAGGUGUUCAGGGCCAGAUUGGAUAGGAGUUUGAGCAGCCUGGUCUGGUGGAAGGUGUCCCUGGCCAUGGCAGGAGGGUUGGAAUCAGAUGAUCUUUAAGGUGCCAUCCAAAGCAUGCUGUGAUUCUAAGAGCUCCCUCAUUAGCCACUGAUGACAGGAGGAGUCACAGCACCCCUCUUUGAGCCUGGCUACCACCAAACACUGCAAAUGCUCCUUUUGGGGCUUUCCUUUUGAGUCAGCAAGCACGAACCUGUCAGCUUUCCAUGGGCUUUGGAAGUAGAACUGCUUCACAUAGCAGCACAGGACUGCCUGCCUGUCCUGGAGGUUUCCCCUCUGCAGCAGCUUCAUAGUAGUAGAUCUCAGCUGCUUAUGCAACCAUCAGCUUCCUUUUUACUCAGAGUUUGUAGUUUAGAAUAUUUGGGGAUUUUUUUGUUUGUUUGGUUGGUUUGGUUUUUUGUUUCCCAGCUGUAGACAAAUUAAAUCCUUCCCUUUAGGCAGUAUAAUUGUAUAGUAUGAUCAGCUGAGUAUUUAAUUUGGUUUAAACUUCAGAAAUGUAAUCAGCUAAGCAAUACACUGACUUUAAGUUCUAAAAUAAUUUUCAUCUGGCAAGAGUAAGAUUAGAGUAGGCUUACCCUUGGGCUGGAAACAAACACUGGCUUUGGAGACGAUAGCAUAAAAUUGGAGAAACAUCAAAGAUGUUUCAGGCCUAGCCAUAUGAGACCUCAAGAUGUGUCACUCAGACUGAGACCUUCCCAUGUUUUUGCAGAUUUUCAACUUCAGAGCGUAGAUUAAUGAGCCAUUUUUUCCUGCUGUCUGCUGCAAUUUGUGUGUCUCUAGCAAGAUGGUCUACUGUCCCAGCAUGUUCAUUAACUGCUGGGCAGAUGGGUCACAAAUUAUCUGUACCUUUUGCAUCUGUAUCAUUAGUGGAGGUUAUUAGCAGAGGGAAGGAGAAAGUUGGAAAACAGAGGGGAGAUGAAAGGUGAAGAGCCCUUGAGCUGGAUGACGAACUGCAAAAGUUUUGACUUUAAAAGUAUGUGUAAGUAAAUAAAAAUCUCCAUCUAAGGCUGCAAAUUGCUUCAAGUGUUCCUCAGAUAGAUUAUCAUUCAGUCAGCCAUUCAGGAAUUCAAAACAUUGCUACAGCCUUUCCCAGAUCAAAAAUAAAUCUUCCACAUCAUCAGAAACAUGUAUGAGCUAAAAAAAGCUUAUUUAUGGAAAGACUAGAGAUCUGCCCCGUCAGACAGACUGAAGCACCCUCAGUCCCUGAAUUAAAGGAGAUGCAGGACUUCUGCUGCUGUCAUCCCUGCAUGCAGAUAAGUGCACUGCACUGCAGAGUUGGGGUGUGUGUGUAAUACAAACUUUGGGAAUAGGGGACUUAUAACCAGCUUUAAACUUGUACAUCCUUUCAUUCAGACUGUUGGAGCUUAGACUAUCUCUCCUUUCUCUCCCUCCAAAGCUUAGAUAUGUGGGAAGCACACUUUGUUCAUGCUUUGCAGAAAAUUGUAUUCAAGGAUAUAAUUCCAAGCCAGGAAAUGCCAAGUCUGGCCAUAAUAUACUGUAAGUGCCACUGAAGCAGAGCUAUGAAGUUUAAUUUUUUGCUUUCUAGCUAUCCAACACUGGAAGUCUCUCCAGGUUCUAGAUAUGAGAAAAAUGUACAAGACUCCUGGAGGAGACGUAGAAAUCUCAGGAAGAGAAAGAGUAAGUCAGAGGAGGCUCAUGUCUUGUACUCCUGUGUUCCUCCUGCAAGGAUGCAUUUAUUUUCCUCAUUUUAAUAGGCUGCAUAAAGAUCAUCCUGCAACGUAGCCCCAGACCUUCCCUCCAAGAUCCAAAGGCAGACAUCAACUAAGGUCUGUAGAGGAAAGCACUUCAGGUUUUCUUCAGCACAUCCCAGGCAAUACGAAGCUAAACCAGACAGCUGCAGAUAAAACAAGACAGAAUCAGCUGGUCAGAGCCUGGGGCAGCCUUGCUGCUGACAGCCACGCUGGCUGCCCAUGGAAGAGUGACCCCAACUGGGUAACAGCGUGUGGCAGGCCCGUCAAGAGAGCUGCUGUGGCUUUCUGGCUUCUUCAGAUCAGUGGGUUUGAGCUGUCAAGCUCAAGAGUGAGAAGUCAAUUCUGUUAACUUAUUGCUGAGGCUUUUCGAAGUCACUCUUUGAAGCAGGCAAUGAACUUCUAUUCAAAAUUUAAUGGGUAUGAGGGGCUUGUUUGUUUUUUUUUAAAUACAUUUCAACUCCUUUCCUAUUUCCUGACAGAAUUCAGUUCUGAAGCUCAUGCUGAUUCCUUUUCUGCCGCACAGCCACAUUUUAAAGAGUUCAAAAUGUAUCUCAUGAGUAUUUAACCUUAAGUGCUGAAUUAAAGCAAAGCUGUUUGAAAAUAUGCAUGAGGCUUUCCUUGAAGCAACUUUUGUUUCAGCCUUUGUUCUGGAAGCAGAACACUGACACAUAAGGCCUUCCCAAAGAUCAUGUGGUUUGACCAUUUAGGAGUGGCCAGAAGGUGGGCCCUGGAGGUACUUAGGAGCUGUUAACGCUGCUAAUAAGAAGCUGUGGUUUGUGAAGUAAAAUACAGUCCUGGGACUACAUUACUCCUGGAAACCUGCAACUCCCGUAGCAUCCAAGCACAGAAGUGCUAGACACAGCCAGAGGCACCGUCCGGCUGUGAUGGACCUGCUCCCCCUUCAAAAGUUCCAAUACUGGCAUUUUUUGCAUGCUUGUAGGAGCAUUUUUACUCAUUUGUACCACAUAGCUCCAAGCAGCCAGAGUGCAAACAGCAGCUUCAGGAAAGGCACAACUCUGAUCAGCUCUGGAAGCUGCAACAGUGCCAACCUACAUCUGCAAAGCAAUGCCAGAGCUGCUAAUGAGACCAUGCAAGACUAGAACUUAAUGGGAAAAUAUCCCUGAGACAGAGAAGCUGAGCUUGCCAGCCAUAUCCCAGAACAAACAGCUCACUGACUUGGCCAGUCAACUCAGGAGACAAAAGAGGAACAAACCCCAUCCUGAAUAAUGCAGUAGGCUGAUGCACUGGAUGCUCAAGUGAAAGCAACAUAAAUUAACUGCAAAGGAAAGCAGCCCAAGACUUCAGAAAUAUCAGCCACAUCAGCUUGUGAUGGCCACAGUGAGCAAGACACCUCUAUGUGUUCAUGAGGAUGUGACAAUGCAGG